CACACACACCACCACCACCACCCCCCCCCCCUACACACACUGGAUCUGUGUCGCAAGUCUGCCGCUAGGCUAUCCGUCUUUCACUGCGGAUACCGUGAGGGGAGGCCGAGGAAGACACCCGAGAGGCACUUGACUGUUGAUGGAAAAAUGCAAAUGAAUGAAGGAGGAAGAGGAGGUCGGAUGGUCGGGAGGACGGGAAGUCACGAGCCAAAACAAUAAUACUCCUGAAGUCCGAUUUGCACAGGCUGUUCCACUGAGCUCCUGAGAAGAAAUCCACAGAGGGCAGCACCUUCAGACAGAAGUCGACUUCACUCCAACCGCUGUGAAGAUUGAUGACGUUGGUCCUCGUUUUCAGUGGGAGGAAGAAACAAGUGGCCCUCCGAGACUCAUUACACCUCGGCAAGAUUUGGCUAAUGGAGUGACAUUGCUCCUGACUACCAGAUUCAUCAUUUGUGCUGGUGUGGGUGGCUCUUUCGAAAAAAGGCCAGCUCGAGAACUGUACCAAAAUUAGACAUGUACUGUUUUUUUUUUUUGUCGUAAAUCAGAUAAUCCAUCUUCGUCCACCAACACAAAUAUUUAGCCGGUCAAGGCGAGGUGCGUCUAAUACCCCAAUCAUAUACAUCCCUGACCUCAAUCCUGGCCACGCUCUUCCAUUCACUUCCCCCCCCCUUGUUCUUCUCGCCACCAUGCUGAGGUACUCGAGGUCCCUCUCCGACCCUAUCCUUAACCCCGAUACCCUCCACCCCCGCCAAACCCCCGACCUGUCAGGGACAGGCUUCCCAUGUCCAUCAGUGUGUGAUGGAUGAGGUGGGAGGUCGUCACCCCACUCUGAAGAGUUCACUGAUCCUAUCAGCCAUGCAGACACCUCCAAAUCAUACAGGGGGACGUUACUAAAAUGAUAGAGAGAUACCCAAAAACAGGGAGCUGCUGCUUUGCAAGAUUUACUUUUUAGAGAGAUGUUUUAUUGACAAUUCCAUCAGCUGUCAUUUCUUAUGUCAUAUUCAAGGAUACCAGCAAGGAGGGAUCUGAAACUAUUAAGCUGUUUAAAAGCGUGCAUCAUAGAUUAUGCAUUACAAAAAAAGGUCAAUUUGGCAGACUCAGGUAAGUCACGCCAGUAGCAGUCUUUAACUUCUUCUCUAGUCUUUAAGUCCCAAGCAGCACGGAGCUCAUUUUAACUUCUCAACCAAAGAUUGUAUUUCUUUUAGAAAGGUGUUGUCUUCAGACACCCCAACACUAACUGAAGUGACACCACAUUACAUCACUGUAUUGGAAUUAAUUCAGGCUUUAUGCAGCUACUUUCACACUUGAAGCAGCACCUCCCAAAAUAUAAAAUAUAUGGAUUUUGGAAGUAUUAAAUGAUAAUUUUAAAGUUCACAUUUAAUAUUUUGGCCAUCCUGAAUGUUAUGAUGGAACCUGGAAGGGAUUCUGCAGAUACCCCACAAAGUGGAAUUGGAACGGGCUGAACCAGUAAAUGAUUGUUUGUUGCAUUAGAGAUUUCCAGAGGUGUUACGUAUGAAGAUGCAUUUUCCUCCUUUUCAACUUCUUCUCCAAUAGAUUUAUAACACUCAGUAUAUAAAUAGAAAUGAUUUCCUGAAAGUGAUUUUCCGUAAAACGCAAUGAAAUUUGAUUGCGCCCCGGUGUAAACUAGUGCAGUGUCUCACCCCUGACUGACCUUAAAUUGCCUCUUGAUGCCUAUGGCGCUGGGAGAAAAACGGUAGUCCCUUUGGCUCAUUUCACAUAUAUCCUGCUAAACAGAGAUUUGGGUUAUAGUUGUAGUUUGAAUUGCUGAAAAACCUGGAGACGGCAAACUCUGUUCCCACGUAAGUCUGUUCGUGGCUCUGCAGCAACAGAGCACACGGCAGGCAAAGGAGACGUUCAUGCCAUUCAGUCAGAGUGGAGAUUGAUAUACUAUAAACCCACAAGAAAAAAAAACAAUACACAAUAGUGUCAAGCUUCGCCACUGACAGGGGGGCAUAGAUCAAUGUUAUUUCCCGCUUUUGCAAAAAUACCUAAUUCCUCUUAUUUAAUCAAGCGCCUCCCUGCCCGGGCCCCUGCGACUGAUUUAUGACACCCACUGCCUUUAUGAGUACCUGUUUCAUUUUCUUGUCUGUGCUCUUGACACCUAAAGUGAUAGGAAUUUUAUGUUUUUGAUAACAAUAUGAGUUUCACUUUGGCCCACAAUUGAUGGCCCUGUCAGUGGUCGAUAAAUAACAACAGCGAAAACAUUCACGAGCUCUCCCACAACAAAGCAUCCGAGCAAUGGGAUUUGCCUUGGGAUGGAAGCUGAGAGGAUGGAGCUAUGAAUAGAAAGAAGAAAGAUGAGGGGGUGGGGGGGAAAGCACAGGAGGUGACGUCCAUCGGAGCGACGCAGGAUCAUAGUAAAAGGUCAUGUCAGCCAGAGCGAAAAGUGCAAAGUGUUUCCCCCUGUCGCCUCAUCAGGAGUCAUAAUUGGUGUGCUGUCAUAUGAACAUUUUGAUAAUGUCACAUGAACAUAAAUGCCAUGCUUUGACACUCAGUCCUCUGGCAAUCAUAAGUAUGUACAGCAGGGGAUCUCAAACAUUUUCAUGUCAGGGACACUCCAGUAAAAAAUCAUUAGAGGUCAUGGACCUCCAUCUUGUCUCUUAUCCCGAAGGCGGCAGCUUUGUGGAGAGCCUGGAUGCUGUUUGUCUAGUGAGGGUUUUCUGCGCUUUCCGCUGAACCUUUUUACGUUUGCUUUCACCCCCACUUGUUCCAGCAAGUGCUCCAAAAUGAAG